UUGUUGCCUCGGCGGAUCAGCCCGCUCCCGGUAAAACGGGACGGCCCGCCAGAGGACCCCUAAACUCUGUUUCUAUAUGUAACUUCUGAGUAAAACCAUAAAUAAAUCAAAACUUUCAACAACGGAUCUCUUGGUUCUGGCAUCGAUGAAGAACGCAGCAAAAUGCGAUAAGUAAUGUGAAUUGCAGAAUUCAGUGAAUCAUCGAAUCUUUGAACGCACAUUGCGCCCGCCAGUAUUCUGGCGGGCAUGCCUGUUCGAGCGUCAUUUCAACCCUCAAGCCCUCGGGUUUGGUGUUGGGGAUCGGCGAGCCCUUGCGGCAAGCCGGCCCCGAAAUCUAGUGGCGGUCUCGCUGCAGCUUCCAUUGCGUAGUAGUAAAACCCUCGCAACUGGUACGCGGCGCGGCCAAGCCGUUAAACCCCCAACUUCUGAAUGUUGACCUCGGAUCAGGUAGGAAUACCCGCUGAACUUAAGCAUAUC
rnacentral:rRNA from 1 species